AACGCACCUUGCACUCUUUGGUAUUCCGAAGAGUAUGUCUGUUUGAGUGUCAUGAAAUUCUCAACCCCCUCAUUUUGUAAAGAAGUGAGUCGUGGGCUUGGAUUAUGGCUGUCUGUCGGCUUCAUUGCCGGCUCAGCUGAAAUACACGAGCAACCCAGUUUGAAAAAUUGACGGCUUGACUCGGCGUAAUAAUUAUUAUCGCUGAGGACGUCUAAUCUUCGAAUCGUUAGUGGUGCUUCUAAUGCAAAUCAUUUUUAAGAUUUAGACCUCAAAUCAGUCAGGAUUACCCGCUGAACUUAA
rnacentral:misc_RNA from 1 species